ACCUUCUAUGUCCAGACUUAAUCAAUUUUCUGUACUUGUCCAUUCUGCUUCUGCUGGUGUUUUGCAGUAAGCCAGAGGUGAGAAAAUUGAUGCUCAGAGGUGUUGUGCAACUUAGAAAUGUACUGCAGCUAGGAAGCCACCUGCUGGUUUCUCAUUACAGCUAAGGUGCCAGAGCUAAGGAAUAACACAUGCCUGUAACAUGAGCACUUUGGGAGGCCAAGGCGGAUGGAUCACCUGAGGUCAGGAGUUCGAGACUAGCCUGGCCAACAUGGUGAAAUCCCGUCUCUACUAAACAUACAAAAAUUAGCUGGGCGUGGUGGCAGAUGCCUGUAAUCUCAGCUACUAGGAAGGCUGAGGCAGGAGAAUUGCUUGCACCUGGGAGGCAGAGGUUGCAGUGAGCCGAGAUGGUACCAUUGCACUCCAGCUGGGCGACAGAGCGAGACACCAUCUCAAAACAACAACAACAAAAAAAAACAAAAAGGGAUGGUCAGACCAGGAGAUGAAGACCCAAAGAGGUCCCUUUUCCUAUGAUGCUGUCAUAAUUUUCAUGCUCCUGAUUAUACCUGCCCAAUUAUUAGCAGACAUAUAGACAAUAGCAAAUCUCAAUUCACAGUCACAUGGUGGAAUUCCUUUGCUUAAUGCCGUAAAUUCAUCAAGAGAAAGGGAAUGGUUUUUGUUACAACUGUGAAUUAAAGGUAGGUGGUGACUAAUCAGUUAGCCAAUGCAUGUCCCUUGAGAUAAGAAAGUCAACUUCUUGUGAUAUUCAGGGUUCUCAGAUGUGAUCCCAAAACAUUAAUGCCAGAUACCUGCGCUCCUACCUGAGACAAACUCAUGGUUUCAGAGAGCAGAAGGUCAAAGCACUAAAAUGAAUGCAUUAGAAUUAAGCUGGCUUCCAUCACAAAGCUUCAUAUAAAUAUUACACCGGCUCUAUAAGACACUCAAUGUUUGGUUUCUGAACCUAUUAAUAUAUAAUGAGGAUACGAUGUAAUUAAUAUCGUUUGUUUUGAUUUUCUGUUAAAUCCGCUUUAGUAAUAAAGAAUGCAAGGUAAUUAUUCAAAAAGGCUUUUCAACAAAUGUCAGUUUCAUUGAUUAAAAAUCAAGUCAGUGCUUCAUUUGAAAUGAUAUUUACAAGCAUGCUUUAAGCUGAAAUGAAUAAUUAUCAGAUUAUUGAACAGCAAGUUAUCUGCAAAGAAUUGUCUACUUUUUUGCUUUUUGCACUGAGGCUUGAUCUCAAAUAAUAAUAAAAGACAAACCAGAGGGUACU
rnacentral:lncRNA from 10 species